GACCAUGUAGCUCAGUUGGCAGAGCAUUGGGCUAGUAUUCCAAAAGUCGUAGGUUCGAAUCUUACUGUGGCCA